rnacentral:rRNA from 1 species
GACGAACGCUGGCGGCGUGCUUAACACAUGCAAGUCGAACGGAAAGGCCCUGCUUUUGUGGGGUGCCCGAGUGGCGAACGGGUGAGUAACACGUGAGUAACCUGCCCUUGACUUUGGGAUAACUUCAGGAAACUGGGGCUAAUACCGGAUAGGAGCUCCUGCUGCAUGGUGGGGGUUGGAAAGUUUCGGCGGUUGGGGAUGGACUCGCGGCUUAUCAGCUUGUUGGUGGGGUAGUGGCUUACCAAGGCUUUGGCGGGUAGCCGGCCUGAGAGGGUGACCGGCCACAUUGGGACUGAGAUACGGCCCAGACUCCUACGGGAGGCAGCAGUGGGGAAUAUUGCACAAUGGGCGGAAGCCUGAUGCAGCAACGCCGCGUGCGGGAUGACGGCCUUCGGGUUGUAAACCGCUUUCGCCUGUGACGAAGCGUGAGUGACGGUAAUGGGUAAAGAAGCACCGGCUAACUACGUGCCAGCAGCCGCGGUGAUACGUAGGGUGCGAGCGUUGUCCGGAUUUAUUGGGCGUAAAGGGCUCGUAGGUGGUUGAUCGCGUCGGAAGUGUAAUCUUGGGGCUUAACCCUGAGCGUGCUUUCGAUACGGGUUGACUUGAGGAAGGUAGGGGAGAAUGGAAUUCCUGGUGGAGCGGUGGAAUGCGCAGAUAUCAGGAGGAACACCAGUGGCGAAGGCGGUUCUCUGGGCCUUUCCUGACGCUGAGGAGCGAAAGCGUGGGGAGCGAACAGGCUUAGAUACCCUGGUAGUCCACGCUGUAAACGGUGGGUACUAGGUGUGGGGUCCAUUCCACGGGUUCCGUGCCGUAGCUAACGCUUUAAGUACCCCGCCUGGGGAGUACGGCCGCAAGGCUAAAACUCAAAGGAAUUGACGGGGCCCCGCACAAGCGGCGGAGCAUGCGGAUUAAUUCGAUGCAACGCGUAGAACCUUACCUGGGUUUGACAUGGAUCGGGAGUGCUCAGAGAUGGGUGUGCCUCUUUUGGGGUCGGUUCACAGGUGGUGCAUGGCUGUCGUCAGCUCGUGUCGUGAGAUGUUGGGUUAAGUCCCGCAACGAGCGCAACCCUUGUUCACUGUUGCCAGCACGUUAUGGUGGGGACUCAGUGGAGACCGCCGGGGUCAACUCGGAGGAAGGUGGGGAUGACGUCAAGUCAUCAUGCCCCUUAUGUCCAGGGCUUCACGCAUGCUACAAUGGCUGGUACAGAGAGUGGCGAGCCUGUGAGGGUGAGCGAAUCUCGGAAAGCCGGUCUCAGUUCGGAUUGGGGUCUGCAACUCGACCUCAUGAAGUCGGAGUCGCUAGUAAUCGCAGAUCAGCAACGCUGCGGUGAAUACGUUCCCGGG